ensembl:lncRNA
CCCAGUACAGGGAUAUCGGUUACUAGGAAACACAGUCCCCAGGGACCAGAGUGGGAGCACAAGCCUCGGACUACGAGGUUUUUCUGGGGAGGAUCAUAUAACAAGAUUUUGAAUUAAAGUAAUAAUGAUUUAAAAAUGCUUCUGCUGAAGGACAGGGUUAAAAAUUACAGUGGGGUUGUAUAAAAUAGUCUCACAAGAGUCUUGUCCUGAGAAAAUGUUUUAUAUAAUGGUCCAAAGUUAUGGGGUUUCUCUCAAGAAAUGAGUUGAAAGCAUGCUUGAGCAGAAGAAAGAAGAUUUGCAGAAAACACUGAGGAUUUUUCUGUCCCUUGGCAGGAAAACCUCUGUUGCUUGGAUCUGGCACUGACAUGACAGAUCAGCUAGUAACCUGCUGGACACAUGGAUAGGUCAUGUGGAUUCCUUACACGGCAGGAAGUUGGAAGUUGGACAACCUACUUGGAUUUCAUCCGUAAGACCAUGGACAACAUAUGGAUCAGUCUCACUGUUACUGUUAUUACUAAGAAGAAGGACAACAACAACAGAAGAAAACCUAACUCGGGAAAUUUUAAUGAUCGUUUAUGGAGAAUUGAGGGGCUCCUCAGAAAAAAAAAAAAAAGAAAAGAAAGAAAAAAUAUGAUAUUAUCCAGCACAGUCCUCACAGCUGAUGAAGAGACCCGGGCACCAGUCAGCCACUGAUUGGUGAUGUAAAGUUGAGUAACUUACAUAUACACUCUGGGACUUACUUUCCCCUCCUAAUAUCUGUAAGCCAAAGUCUCUCUUACUGUGACCCUACACAGCAGCUAAAAAGACAGAUUCUGAUUCUGGUUUUGGUUUAAGGCUUAGUGAUGCUAAAGAACCACAAAUACGUGUGCCAAUAAUGAAAUAAAAGUAAACAUGAAAUACAGCAUCAUCUUAUUAACCAUUACCAAAACUGCAAUAUUUUACUUUUAGCUGUGUAUUGACUAUAUUGAUUCCAGCCUUCUUUAAAGCAGUACUUGGUUCAAAGACACUUACUUACUUUAACAAUUUCUCAUUAGAAGGGAAUAUACUGACAGCAGAUAUUACCUCUACUAUACAGAAGUUAAAACAUACUGGAAGCUUAUGUUUUUGUCUUGUAUGUUUUAAUGCAGAGGGGGAAGUGUUGCUACUAAGCUGGGAGCAGGAGGUAUUUUUAGUUGCUGAAUAUUAAUGAAUCAAUGACUUCCCAAUCUUUCAUGAGAUUGUGGAGAAUAUGCAAGUACCAAGCUGCAUUAAAAAGAAGGUAUCUCUUAAAAAUUGCUAUAGGAAUUAAAAAUACUAACAACAAAUACAUCAUUCGAGCUUCUACUUCAUUUCACUUGUAGACUGGGGAUGUUCAUGAGUUGAAUCUCACAAAGAGACCUCUAGUGACAGAGUAAUACACUGCCAGUACACACAGGUCCUGUAGGAUGUCAAAAUCAUUCCUGUUUGGAAAGUAGCAGUGUCAUAGAAUCACAGAACCACCAAAUCAUUAAAGUAGGAAAAGACCUCUAAGAUCACCAAACCACCAUUCCAUCCCCACCAUACCCACUGACCACGUCCUCAGUGCCACAUCCACAUGGUUCUGGAACACCUCCAGGCACGGUGACUCCACCACCUCCCUGGGCAGCCUCUGCCACUGCAGCACCGCUCCUUCUGAGAAGAAAUUGUUCCUAAUAUCCAACCUGAACAUAUCCUGGCACAACUUAAGGCCUCGCAAUUAUUAUAAAAGAGAGACUUGUCUGUAACAUUCAGUAAUGAACUGAUAUCCUUAAGUAAAAUUCUGAUUGUCAGUUUUCUCCUUGAGUUAGUUUUUUUAUGACAAUAAUCUUGCACUGCUUUGCUCUGGACAAACUGUUUGUUCAUCAUUUGAACUUAGAAAGAACAAUUUUUUACUCUCACUUUAAAUGAAGUUAACACAGUACCAGAAAUUGCACAGGGGAAGUGAAGAGGCAAGCUGACUCCAUUAUUAUUUACUAUUUACAUCACUAUACUUCAAAGCUGUAAUAAUUUGAGAGAUCAAGGUUUCAUCUGGCUAGGCACUGUACAGAGAAAAAAUAUAUAUUACAUUGUUGCAAUUAUUAUUUUUUUCCUCUUAUUGUUCACUCUUGGAAAUACGCAGGGUAAUAACCAAAAUCCCUAUCUCUGACCUCUCCAAAGUCAGUGAAAGCCCGUAGACUUUCUAAGGCAGAGCUUACACCCAGCUCAUCACCUUGAAAAGCUACUAGUGCACCUGCAUUACGUGGAGGAUGUACAGACUUAUGUCUUUUCAUAUUACACCUCCUUAGCAUGCUCCCCUACCAGACAAAGCUCCACUCUUGGUUGUACUUGUGCAUCCGAAAACUUUUCUUAACACUCAAGAUAAACGGGAGACAAUAAAGCUCUGCUUUUAUAGCACUUUUCAUGCAGAAUGGGUCCUUAAGCACUUCACCGUGUUAAAUCACGCAGUUAGAGAAUUAAAUAAUGUAAAUUUAAUAUUUUUUUCUUUAAAGCAUUACUACUUGUUUUAUUGCUACUGUCCAAAUUGAAUAAUUCUCUCCCUCCUUUUUUAG